CGGAAAUUUUUAGAUAAAUUGAGAAAAUGGUUGAUUUCCGGAAAAUGUAACGAAAAAUUUUGUAUGUCCGGAAAAAAUUUUUGACCCCUAAAAUGGUACACUGACCGAAAUUUUUUUGGCGACGGGGGGGUUGGGGGGGGAGGUCGCCAGAAAAAUUUUUGUCGGAAAUAAUUUUCAAGUUUGUCGGAAAGUACAGCCCUUGCCCCCCCUCCCAAAAAACAAGGGUCCCACGGCGCCACUGCAUAUAUCACGUCGUACUAAAUAUCGUACGACCUGAAAACAUAUAAGCAUACGUAAUAGCCAAGUUAUUAACGACUACAAUUGAUAAAUAAACAAACAUACGGGCAGAUAUACAAACAAACAAACAAACAAAGACUUGACAUUAAAAUAACAAGGAGGAAGAACCAGAAGACUACGCCUACGGGCAGAGCGGGUGAUAUACACGUACUUGCCCAUACUUCGUAAACCUGGUACGACUUAAGAAAUCCGAAAUCUAGUCCGGGAAACGAUAACUGAUCAAAGAACGGUAAGUUUCGUUGUCCAGGUUCACCCAUAGAAAUAAUGGAUAUAGAAUACGUACUCCUAUAUCUUUUCUCAUUAAAAAAUUUGUCUCCACAAAAUGGCGGAUUUACAAGAGUAUUUUGGUUGGUCCCAGACUAC